CAAUAGUGACCACGUAAACCUCACUGGUCACUGGAGGAUAUAUUGCUACUUUCGUGUUGGAAUAACUUUACUGGCCCUUUUUUCUCUUUUUGGAUCGGUUUCGCUCCAUCUUCUUCUGCUGGAUGUUUAAAUGUAAAAGGAAGCCAACGAGAGACAGAACACUGAGGACAAUACAAAGUGAUCUGCAAAAUGCAUCAAUGGAGGAGACAAGAUAAAUAGAGGGAGAAGAUGAUCUGCAGGAUCCUUCUGCUCAUCAGCCUGACCUCCUGUGUCUCUGGAACAUUUGAAGUGAAAGUGACACAGAGCUCCUAUCAGGCAGAGGAGAACCACAACAUCACACUGGAAUGGACGUUUACAACCAAACCUGACAGUUCCUCCACCUCACUGAACAUCUACUGCCGACUGCUUAC